CAGAUUGUAGACUGGAGACUCUGAGACUGUGGAGCUGCAGCUUGUCAGAGAUCAGCUGUGAUUCUCUGGUCUCAGCUCUGAAGUCCAACCCAUCCCAUCUGAAACAUCUGCACCUGGGUAACAACAACCUGGAGGAUUCAGAUAUGAAGGAGCUUCUUGAUCUUUUGAAGAGUCCAGACUAUAACAUUUCUCUGGAAUUGUGGUCGUGAUAACCAGGAGGGUGUGUGUUGUGAGAGGAUGAGCUGUGUCAUGAUGAUC